GAUAAACGCUGGCGGCGUGCCUAAUGCAUGCAAGUCGAACGGGUCGCAGCUUCGGCUGUGGUCAGUGGCGGACGGGUGAGGAACACGUACGCAACCUGCCCUCUGGUGGGAAUAACCCUUCGAAGAAGGGGCUAAUGCCGCAUCCGCUCACCUGGGUAAGGCUGGGUGAGGAAAGCCCGUGAGGGCGCUGGAGGAGGGGCGUGCGGCCGAUUAGCUAGUUGGUGGGGUAACGGCCGUCCCAAGGCGGUGAUCGGUAGCUGGUCUGAGAGGAUGAUCAGCCACACU
rnacentral:rRNA from 1 species